AAUCAACGCUGGCGGCGUGCCUCAGACACGCAAGUCGAACGAGAAAGUUUCCUUCGGGAGACGAGUACAGUGGCGUCCGGGUGAGUAACACGUGGGUAAUUUACCUUUGGGUGGGGAAUAGCAGCCGGAAACGGCUAUUAAUACCGCAUAAUGCAGCGGCUCGACAUCGAGACAGUUGUUAAAGCGGGGAUCUGACAAGGACCUCGCGCCUAAAGAGAAGCCUGCGUCAGAUUAGCUAGUUGGUAGGGUAAUGGCCUACCAAGGCUGUGAUCUGUAGCCGGCCUGAGAGGGCGGUCGGGCCACACUGACACUGACACACGGGUCAGACUCCUACGGGAGGCAGCAGUCGGGAAUUUUGGGCAACGGGCGCAAGCCUGACCCAGCAACGCCG
rnacentral:rRNA from 1 species